UUCUUUCUUUCACUCUGCUUAUUAAAUGCUUGUGCGAUAAGUUUGGGGAAUCUGAAAAUGUGGACCGGAGCAGAAGAUUGAAACUCACCAGCAAUUGAGGAACGGUACUUUACUUGGUCUGUACUAAAUAAAUCAGUUUUUAGCUCUCACUGAUGAGCUUCUUUUGAGAUGAUGAUUCAUGUCAAAUUGUGGGGUGCUGUUUAUCGACCACGGUGAUGGUGGAACUCUGGUUCGGAUUUGGACUAGGGCCCCCCACAGGAUUGGACCUGCACAAGGAACACCCACCUUUAGCGGCUAACUGGUUGGAGCUGGCAGGGAAGGCAGUUUUUUGGUGAAGUAAUUAGCUGAAGGUGGAAGAAGGGUAAGGAAGCUCUAGGGUUAGUAUGGGCGGCGUACCUGUUAUGGUUUAGGCUUUACCCUUACAUAGAACCUCCAAACUUGUCCUCCAAGUAUACUCAUGUUCGGCAUGCGAGGUAACUGCUUGGGCUGAUGUCACAUAUGAUGUAGUCUGGAAGACGGUUAUAUGCUCACGUAUUUGAACCGCCUUCCGUAAAUUACCCGGGUUGGACCGGUCGGACCCGGGUUGGCUGUACGCGAACCAUACGGUUUGGAUAGGGUGACCUGGUUGCUCUGAAUUGGAUCUGUGCCUUUUGAGCCACAGGUGAAGGAUUCGGAACGAUGAGUCGGACCAAUGGUUUGGUCAAGCCUAAUCGCUGCAUGUUUCAUAGCCUAUCGUUCGCCGAGCCUCAUAUGGUCACAUGGCUGGGCCCAUCAAGGGUCCAACAGUUCGACCCACUAUACAUAUUUUUCUCUAAGGGUCUGUUUGGAUGGCAGGGAUAUGGAUUGGAUUACAUGUCUCAUGGGGUAAUUUGACUAAUUUAUAUCAUUUCAAUGCAAUGAUUGGUGGCAAAAUGUAUAUAUCUGUGGGGCAACCAAUUGUGUAAAACGCGGAAUAUCCGGUACCUUUGGGUAUGGUACGGUAAUUUCAUAAGUUUAGUCCAGUGGGAUUAGUAAUCCUAUGAAAUCAUAUAUCGCCUCAGUAUUAGUCCAGUGACUCCAGCCAAAUCAAACGUGGGGCCUAAGGUGUUUGCAAUCUUAGAACACUAGAUUUUAUAGGGAGACUCAUUGGAGUCCUGACAUCCCACAUCAGCUAUCUUCUGUGUUGAUACGGAAAAUAAUGCUUUCAUGUACGGAUAUGUUUAGGCCACAUUUUCUGCUGCUGUUUGUUUAGCUUGGAAGACCUUUAGAGCAGGGUGUUUUUGCUGCGCCUUUAAGUUUCUUUACCUGUUAAAGAUUUUCUUCCAAAGAAUAUAUAUUUUAAAUGAAAUGAGAUUCUUUUGCGGGAUGGAGGAAGUGAAAGCCCUUUUUGAAGUAUGGAAGUGAACCAAAGAUUUCAUGGUUACGCGUCUGCAUUUCCACAUUUAAGUUAUAUGGGCACUUGUUGUCUGGGGUAUGUUACUAGAAUGCAAUGUUAAAAGUGGAAGUUCUUGUCAGCAUGGUACAAAAUCUGAUUCUCCAAUUGCGAAAGGCAUGUGAAACCGGCCAAAAGGCUGAAAAACAUUGCGGCUUGUUUUGGCUUAACUAGAUAAGUGACUUGCUGACUUAUUGGCUUUUUCAGCCAUAAGUCAUUUUCCCAAAAAGUUUCCAGGUUUGGCUUAACUAGAUACUUAUUGCUUUUUACAUUUUCCUCCAAAUUGUGUGUUGGUCAAAUUCUGAAAAUACCCUUUGUCAAAAUGAAACACACCACCCAUACAUAUUUCCAAAUUCCAACUAGCAAAUAAGGAAAACCACAUAGACAAUCUACUUUUAAGUUUUAAUAGCACCAAUUUCUCAAUAACAUCUUCGACCACAACAUAAUGCCAUACAACAACUUCAAAUACUUGAAACUUAUAUCGUCUUCUAUGACGACAAAGCGCACAACACUUGAUUUUUGCUCCAAAUAUUUCCCAAAUGCUUUGCAAGCCCUGAAAUGUGACAAACAUGUAUGAGAACUCCAACUAACGCAUUAAAGGGGCAUAACAAGCCCAAGUGAGGGGGCAGAAAUAAGCGUAUUUAUGCACCUAUGACCUAUCACAUCCCCCAACUUAAACUUUGCUAGUCCCUAGCAAAGAAAAGAAUUGAACAACUAAUGAAAGUGUUAGAUUACGGGUAUAUUUUAGCUUCCUAGGUGGCCCGGGAAGACGAGUGAAGUCUUGUGAGGGUUGUCAGUUGUGAAUAUCCACAAACUUUGUGAAUCCUUCCACAUAAUCAUUACGAAGAUACAAUGGUAAUACAAGUGCAAAAUACUAUCGAGACAUGCACACAAGCCAUGGCACCUACUUUAGUGUGCGUGGAUACGGGCCCAAGUAACAAGUGAAGUGCCAUUUAAGAGUUCUAUCCGGACCGAGCCUCGACACGUCCCAAGUUCCAUACAAGAAAGACCCCAAUAUUUUUUCAAAUUUUGAGACUCUAAGUACGAACAAAGUACAAAUUACUCCCUUCCCCCAACUUGAACUAUGCAAUGCCCUCAUUGAAUACCAAAGAACAAAAAUAUAGGACAGAAGAGGAAAACAAGGGACAUGUAUCACCGCGCAAUGGAGAACUGUACAUGAUAUAAUAUGGCAGGAGGUUGAUUCCCCAACUUGAAUGAAGCAACCUGCAAAAUUGUUACUCCCCACUACACAACAAGAAUAAAACAGAACAUAAAAGAAACGAACUGACAAAUAAAAGGGAAAAUAAUAAAACAAAAGACGCUAUACAACAGGACAAGCGACCACAGAGUCACUCGUUGUCACCAUUGCUAUGAGGUGGAGGCUGGUAAUGUGGGUAAGACGGAGCCUCAUAGGGUGCUUAAGGAAGGAAGCCGACCAAUGUGUGCAAAAGGCCCCUAAAGUCAUAGGCAUUGCGGUGUUGCUCCAUAGGCCCAAUCAGUGAAUGACCUCUGAAAGAAGUCUUGGGUCCCCAUCCCCAAAUUUAUCUGCGCAACACUCGUGAAUUUUUUGAGAACUUAGAUAAGGGUCCCCGCGAGGGGACGUUGACAACCACGGUUGAUGGGCGGGAGAUGACUUACGGACACAAGAGAUAGCCCCGGCUUUAGGCACUACAUUGUUAAUUCGCCCCCCUUUCCCGAACCCAUUCCGCGCAUGCACCCCACGCGACUCGUUCAAGUUUUACAUGUUGGUAAUUCUCAUGGAGAUCGUAACAUCCAUCGGGCUCACUUGCCUCGCUCAUUGUGGUUUCUUAUUACGUUUUGAAAAAUUUAUGCCCUGAAGGGCAUAAGGAUGAGCGGCGAAAGAUUUUUUUACGUUGCCUUUAUGCACUUCGCAUCGGUACUCCCAUUAAUGCUCCAUGGGUUAAUGCUCCAUGGGUCAUGUUUUUGGAGUUUGAGCGGUUUAAAGGGGAUAUGAAAGAUAAUACUGAGAUUCUAUUCCCUCACAUGGUGACUAUGCUUGUCACCUACCUGCAGUGAGUGGACGCCCGCCUUAUAAGUUUCCCCGUGGCGAGGCCAGGGACGAGGAGGUGGACUUAUUUGUUACAACCACUUGGGGUAAGAGCGUGCGCGGUAUCGAGAAAUCUUUGCAAACUAACCUACCUUUGCUUGCCCCUGCUGAUCCCUUGGUUGCCUGGUGGCAGUUUACCCCACUUUUCACCACUUCCACCACCACAAGAGGAGGAUCGAUGCUUCACUUGAGCCGAGUACCGCAGGAUUCGGUGUGACUUGGCCGAUUUGCAUGAUCACCAAGACUUCUUUCAGAGGUCAUUCACUGACUUUUGUUUGGAAUAACACUGCAAUGCCUAUGACUUUAGGGGCCUCUUGCACACGUUGGUCCGCUUCGGUCGGCCUCCCUCCUCAGGCACCCUAUGAGGCCCCGUCUUGCCCACAUUACCAGCCUCCACCUCGUGGCGAUGGUGAUGAUGAGUGACUUCGUGGUCGCUUGUCCUGUUGUAUAGUGUCUUUUGUUUUAUUGUUUUCCAUUUUAUUUGUCUUUUUUGUUUUGUUUUAUUCUUGUGUCGUGGGGAGUAACAAUUUGCAGGUUGCUUCAUUCAAGAUGGGGGAUCAAUCUCUCGCCAUAUUUUAUCGUGUACAGUUCUCCAUUGCCCUCUGUUUUCCUCUUCUGUCCUAUAUUUUUGUGCUUUGGUAUUCAAUGAGGACAUGACAUAGUUCAAGUUGGGGGAAGGGAGUACUUUGUUCGUACUUAGAGUCUCAAAAAAUUGAAAAAAUAGUGGGGUCUUUGUUGUAUGGAACUUGGGAUUUGUGAGGUGUUUGUGGUUGAUUGUGUUGAGAUAUGUUGUCAUUGCUUUGAUGUUUUGCGGUCUGCUAGGGCACAUUUUGCACUUCAUGAUUAAUCGGGCUAAGGUUGCAUGUGGGUUUCAUUUGGUUGUUCUUGAUGGCUGGAUUAGCAAAGACUUGUGCCCUAGUGACCUUUUGUGUCCUACCUUUUGUUGGAGUGGUGUCACAUGAAUUCUUGUUUGUCAUUAAAAGAAAGAGUAAUUCUUGCUGCCAAGUGUUGGAAUUGCUUGCAUGAAUUAUUAUCUCAUGGGGUUUGGUUUGGGACAUGGUUGUUUCACCCCUAGGAGAGGAUUAUAGGCCACUCUUGAUACUUUGAUCGGGUUUGUUUGUUUCGUUUACAUACUUGCCCCUUGUAAGCCCUUUUGAGCCUCUUGGAUGAUGCCUUUUUCUUGAUUAAGCUCCACUUCCUAAGUCCUAUAUAUUGUCUUGAGAAUGGUGAAUUGAAUGCAAGGGUGAGGUAUUGAACAAAGAGAGAUGGAGAAUGUAAUUGAAAGAUGUGCUUAUUAGUGGUGAUUUCCCCAUUGCUAAAAAAAGAAGAAGAAAAGUUGCACCACAAUUCAAAGAUAAAAGAAUGCAACUUGAAUAAAAGAGGGGAGAUGCCAUGUUACUUG